UAAGUACCCCGAGGAAAAGAAAUCAACCGAGAUUCCCCCAGUAGCGGCGAGCGAACGGGGAGGAGCCCAGAGCCUGAAUCAGCAUGUGUGUUAGUGGAAGCGUCUGGAAAGGCGCGCGAUACAGGGUGACAGCCCCGUACACAAAAGCGCAUGUGCUGUGAGCUCGAUGAGUAGGGCGGGACACGUGGUAUCCUGUCUGAAUAUGGGGGGACCAUCCUCCAAGGCUAAAUACUCCUGACUGACCGAUAGUGAACCAGUACCGUGAGGGAAAGGCGAAAAGAACCCCGGCGAGGGGAGUGAAAAAGAACCUGAAACCGUGUACGUACAAGCAGUGGGAGCACAGGUUUACCUGUGUGACUGCGUACCUUUUGUAUAAUGGGUCAGCGACUUAUAUUCUGUAGCAAGGUUAACCGAAUAGGGGAGCCGGAGGGAAACCGAGUCUUAAUUGGGCGUUAAGUUGCAGGGUAUAGACCCGAAACCCGGUGAUCUAGCCAUGGGCAGGUUGAAGGUUGGGUAACACUAACUGGAGGACCGAACCGACUAAUGUUGAAAAAUUAGCGGAUGACCUGUGGCUGGGGGUGAAAGGCCAAUCAAACCGGGAGAUAGCUGGUUCUCCCCGAAAGCUAUUUAGGUAGCGCCUCGUGAAUUCAUCUCCGGGGGUAGAGCACUGUUUCGGCUAGGGGGCCAUCCCGGCUUACCAACCCGAUGCAAACUGCGAAUACCGGAGAAUGUUAUCACGGGAGACACACGGCGGGUGCUAACGUCCGUCGUGAAGAGGGAAACAACCCAGACCGCCAGCUAAGGUCCCAAAGUCAUGGUUAAGUGGGAAACGAUGUGGGAAGGCCCAGACAGCCAGGAUGUUGGCUUAGAAGCAGCCAUCAUUUAAAGAAAGCGUAAUAGCUCACUGGUCGAGUCGGCCUGCGCGGAAGAUGUAACGGGGCUAAACCAUGCACCGAAGCUGCGGCAGCGACACUGUGUGUUGUUGGGUAGGGGAGCGUUCUGUAAGCCUGUGAAGGUGGCCUGUGAGGGUUGCUGGAGGUAUCAGAAGUGCGAAUGCUGACAUAAGUAACGAUAAAGCGGGUGAAAAGCCCGCUCGCCGGAAGACCAAGGGUUCCUGUCCAACGUUAAUCGGGGCAGGGUGAGUCGACCCCUAAGGCGAGGCCGAAAGGCGUAGUCGAUGGGAAACAGGUUAAUAUUCCUGUACUUGGUGUUACUGCGAAGGGGGGACGGAGAAGGCUAUGUUGGCCGGGCGACGGUUGUCCCGGUUUAAGCGUGUAGGUGUGUGUUCCAGGUAAAUCCGGUUCACUUUAACACUGAGGCGUGAUGACGAGGCACUACGGUGCUGAAGCAACAAAUGCCCUGCUUCCAGGAAAAGCCUCUAAGCAUCAGGUAACAUCAAAUCGUACCCCAAACCGACACAGGUGGUCAGGUAGAGAAUACCAAGGCGCUUGAGAGAACUCGGGUGAAGGAACUAGGCAAAAUGGUGCCGUAACUUCGGGAGAAGGCACGCUGACAC
rnacentral:rRNA from 1 species